AAGUCGUAACAAGGUUUCCGUAGGUGAACCUGCGGAAGGAUCAUUAUCAAUAUAAUAAUCCAAAACGUAUGCUAAGACAGUUCUUUCGGGGACUGUGUUAGCAUAUAAACCAAUCUGUGAAAUGUUUUGUUUUACUUUUUGGAAAAAAGGAGGAGUGUAUAUAUAUAUAUUUCGGUAUAUAUAUAUUGCUUGCUUUUUUUCUACUAAGUAAAAAUAUACUUUAUUAACCAAUUGAACCCUUUGUUAAAUCUUUAAUUUCUAUUGUGUGAACUGAAUUGUUUCUUACUUUUCUUGUAACAAAGAAGAGAAGAAAAUAAAUUUUACGAAACAUAAUAAUUUAAAAGAACAACUCUUAGCAACGGAUAUCUUGGUUCUC
rnacentral:misc_RNA from 1 species